CCGCGGGUGGACUGGUCGUCGGGCGCGGUCGCGCUGCUCGACCAGGCCCGGGAAUGGCCGGAUCGUGGCCGGCCCCGCCGG
rnacentral:tRNA from 1 species